rnacentral:rRNA from 1 species
AACGAACGCUGGCGGCAUGCCUAACACAUGCAAGUCGAACGAGACCUUCGGGUCUAGUGGCGCACGGGUGCGUAACGCGUGGGAACCUGCCCUUAGGUUCGGAGUAACUCCCCGAAAGGGGUGCUAAUACCGGAUAAUGUCUUCGGACCAAAGAUUUAUCGCCUUUGGAUGGGCCCGCGUUGGAUUAGCUAGUUGGUAGGGUAAAGGCCUACCAAGGCGACGAUCCAUAGCUGGUCUGAGAGGAUGAUCAGCCACACUGGGACUGAGACACGGCCCAGACUCCUACGGGAGGCAGCAGUGGGGAAUAUUGGACAAUGGGCGAAAGCCUGAUCCAGCAAUGCCGCGUGAGUGAUGAAGGCCUUAGGGUUGUAAAGCUCUUUUACCCGGGAUGAUAAUGACAGUACCGGGAGAAUAAGCUCCGGCUAACUCCGUG